GGGGUGGUGGGGGAGAGGGGGAGAAAGCAAGCAUGCACCUUUUGGCCAAACUUUACUUUUAAAUACUUCAAGCCUAUGUUUUCUGAAAAGAGGCUCCAUGUAACUGCAAAACUGAUCUUCCCAAGGCAUUAGCUGGUUGUCUGGUGUUAGUGGGGAGACUUCAGACUUGCAUUGCCUACUUGUUCCCACACGGAGCCGGGCUUUUGUGUUUUCUUUCGUCCUGUGUCUGACAGUAGUUAGUGCAUUGCAUUUGGUUUUAGUUUCUUCAUUCGUCUUUAAUCUAGAACAGUUCUGAUGCUUCAUCUGUUAAAAGAAACUUUUAUGAUAAUAAAAUCGAGAGUCUUAUAGGUUGCUUUUUAAUCUGGAUUUAUUUCUUUCCUUAUUAGCCUCAGGCUACUAAGAACCUGCUUUAUAUUUUAAAAAAACGUUGCUGUUCAAUUGUAGAAAUUUUUGACUUUUUCUGCAUUGUCUCAGAAGUUUUUCUUAAGAGUCUCAGUCUCUUCAUUCAAGUACAGGGAAGCUGAAAUUGAGUUAACUUUUUGCAGGUAAAGAAACCUAUUGUGAUAAGAAACUUUGUUUUUGCUUUGGAUAAAAAUCAGCUGCCCUGAUUUAUGCUGCACUCACCUUUCUGAAGCCCGAUGGCGGGAUUUGUGCUUUUCUGUGCCCAGCAGGAUCUGGAAGUGGUGUUAAAUGAUUCCCUCUGAAGUGCCACUUUCAGAUUUACAUCCUCUCAGGAGCGGCCUCUGUAAAACAGAAACAGGCUGAACUGCAAGAGAACGAGCUCCAAGCGUGUAUGGAGCAAACGAAACAUGUCACACUAGCUUCUGUCUAUAAAAGGAAGUGGGAAAUAGAUUGGUUUAGUCUGGUUAUUUUUGAAACAUAUUUAAGAAGAAUUUAAUAAUCAAAUGAUAUCUUACUGUAAUACAACCAUACAUGCUAAGGAAACAGAUACUUUAAUAUGCUGAACUUAGAGAAUGUGUACUUUCAAAAAUGUUUCUUUUAGUUGUUAAAAAAAAAAUCUCACUUAACUAAUGUCACCAGUUCUUUUCAAACCCAAUACACUCUGCUCCUUAGCUUCGAGGUGUUGUCUCAGUGUAACAACAGUCUUGCUGGCAGAUCUUCAUACUCAGGAACAGCAGAUGUUUAUAAUCGUAUUCUGCUGUGGGGAGGAAGGUAGUUUUGGUUUUGGGUUUUUUUUUUUUUAAGGUCAUCAGUGUUUAGAUUAAUCAGGCUGACAUUUCUUGCUGGUGGGUCAUGAGCUGUUGAUAAUAGCACUACAUGGUGAUUCAGUUGUUCCAUUGAAUCAUCAGGGAAACCCACUGGCACUCACCCCACGUGCUCUGCAGCAGGGGUGUGCAAGGAGAAGAUGUGUGUCUCUUUUGUUUGCAUCUUAGAGUUAUUAGAGGCUGAGUCACAUAUUAAAGGAUGCUCCAGCCUUGCCAUUAUUUUAGAGAACCAUAAUCAAUAGCUUGACACUUUUUUUUAUCAUAGCCCAAGUCAUCUCUUCAUGUCGGUAGCCUUUCUGAAACCCUGUCUUAAUGAAUGAAUGUACUUGGACUGCCAGGAAGAAAAGCCAGUCCAUUCACAGAUGUGUAAGUUGUAGUUUUACUUAAACUAGUGAUGUGAGCAUAAGAACCCUUGGAAGGUGGUUGUUCACUUUGAGAGGGACAGGAAGAAGGGGAGAGACGGAAAGCUUACAUGUGUGAUGCACAUAGACUUCUUAAACAAGAAGAGGUCCUUGUAUCAAAACCUCUUUAAGGAAAACUUAAUAAGACAUUAGCUGGAUUUUUUUUUAAAUGCUGGGGAUUAAACCCAGGGUCAAGUGUUUGUUCCUUUGCUCUAACACUGAGCUGUGGCCUCAGUCUUCUGGAUUGGCUAAUCAGCUACUUGUAAGGUAAAUAGCAGUUCAGAAUGCAGUGAAUCAGAAAUUUCUGGUGUCUUUGAAUUUUGAAGUGUGGUUUUAGCAUGUUUGUGUGUGUGAACAGAGAAUAAAUAGUACUGUGACAGUUAUAUAUUAAUGUCGUUUUAGUUUUUGGUGAAAGAAUUCAGUCGAUUGUGAUGUUUUAGUGACUAUCUUCAGCACUCAGCCCAGAUCUUAGGCAGGUGCUCAGUUAUAAUUUACUAAAUAAUGUGUGUCAUUUGGGCAGAAGCCAUAGGUUUGCGGAGGACUUUAUAUUGUCAUAAAGAAUGUAUUGUAAGUAGGAAAGAUUAGUAUUCCCCUCUAUAGGAAAAAGUAAUUGCCUUAUUUAGGGUAAGCGGGUUCUUCCUAUCUUGCUCUUUUGAGAAGUCAUACAGCAUUAGAAAGUUAUGGGCCACUAGAGGUCACUGUUUAGUAAUCAACUGCUAAUGAACCAGAACCGCCAGAGGAGCCAGUAAAUUACGUGUGGGUUUUUCUAAUUAUGAAUUCAUAUUUAAUCAUUCAAUGACAAGGUAACUGGGAAUGGUUCUGUGUACUUUCAUAUGUGGUUAUGCUAAUACACAGCUACAUUUCUCAGAUGUUGGUCCUCCAUCAUUAGAGUAGCAGACAUCAAAGGCUUUGUUUUCUAAUCUUAAUUACCGAUUGUAAAACAUAAUUAACUUUGUUAAUACUUCCACACCUUACAUGGGCCAAACACUCUUUUAAAAAUAAAGUUUAAGUGCAAAUAUGCAUUGUGUUUGUGUGAGUGAUGUAAUGGUUCCUUCCUCUCCUGUGUCUUCGCGCUUCACUCUUCCCUUGCCCGGCUCUCUUCUUUCUUCUCUCUCACCUGGUUUCCUUUCUCCCUCCUUUGAAUUCCUUUUCCACUUAAAUGUACAUGUGUUAGUUGGUGACUGUUUUCCCAAGCGAUCAGCCUUGAUGGAAUGCCUAGGAGAAUGACUUCCACUGUGUCUGUUAAAGGAAUCUCAGGGCAGGCAACUUAGGUUGAGCCAACCAGCAGGAUAGGUGUGCUUGUCGGUAAGCAUGGAGCUGUGCUUGUCGCUGAGAGCAAAUGGCUCUCUGAGGCCUGUGCAGCCAGGAGUCUAUGCAGGAAAAGGCAGAUUUUCUAUCCCCUCUUCCAUGAUAUUAUAUUUCUUGAGACAAGAUCUCCUGUAGCUGACCUCUUAAGCCAUUUUGUAGUAGAGAAUGACCUUGAACUUGUGAUCUUGUUUCCACUUCCCAAGUGCUUCAUGAGCCACCAAACAUAUUUUCUUUUUUAGUGCAUUCCUGAAGAGUGAGCCCAGGCCUUCCUGUAUGCUAGAAAAAGUAACCAGUUUAUGUCUCCUGGAAUUUCCUUCUCUGCCCGAGUCAGCAAGCACACGGCAACACAGCAUCAUUUUUGAUGGUCACAUUAGUCUGAUAUUUUUAGGCAAGCUUUUACUUUUAUAACCCAGUGUGACAUUUCACUUACUUUAAUUUUGAACAUCUAAACUUUUUUAUGACAAUUCAUUUUCUUUGCCUUCAGGCUUAUUUUGUAGUGUGCUAACUCUUGUCUGGAUUACAAACUCAACUUGAACCAAAAUUGGGACUUAAUUUUUUUCGAGUAAUCUAAAAGCCCAAAAGUGUGUUGUGUGUGUACAGAAAAUAUCUGGUAAAUACUUGGUUUGUAGAAAGUAAAUAUUUUUACAUGAGAUUUUAAAAACAGACACAAGCAGAGCAUGAACUUGAAGUGAUCUUACAAUUCUUAGCAUAUCAUUUUUUUCUUUUUUGAUCCAUAGAAAGUCAUCAUUAAAUUGAUUGACUGCUGUGUCUAGUUGGGUGAAAUUUCUUGAUUUCGUUUGAAGUAGCAACCAUAAAAGAAGCAUUCAUUUGUGAAGGUUUAGAUUGAUGUUGGUCCUAAUGGUAAAGAUGAAGCUUGUUUUAUUAUCAAAAAGGAAAAAAUAUCCUAGUGUAAGAGUAAGGGAAGCCAGGCUUUUGUUUGACACCAAAGAGCCCAUCCUGUUCCUUCACAAAGCUCAGUGCUGCUGUUAGCAGUGUGGUAGGCCAAGUCAAAAAUUAAUAGUGUUCAACAACAACAAACAAACAUCAAAUAAAGAUAAUUUUUAUCAUCUUUAGUAGCAUAUAUUAGUUGUACCUAAUAGUUUUAAUGACUUAAAAUAAAAACUGGUAUGCAAUGUAGUAUAUACCUUCAGGAGUCAGAGACAAGUGGAUUUCCAAGUUGGAGGCCAGGCUGUUUUUCAUAGAGCAUUCCAGGCCAGCUAGGGCUCCACAGUGAGACCGUGUCUCAAAACAAAACAGAUAAAAACUAUUUAAUGUUGCCUGUCAUUGUGUGUGCACAUGAUAUUUAUAGUCGAUGAAUCAUGUGUCAUGGCAUGCACAUGAAGGUAGAGGAUAACUCUAUUCUCCUGCCUCCAUCUGGGUUUUAAGCUCAGGUUGUCAGCUGUGCACAGCAAGUGUAUUUAACUGAUGACCAGUCUCACUGAUCCCCAAAUACAUUUUUUAGAGACUUUAUUAGCAUAUACUAGUUGUACCUAAUAAUGUUAAUGACUUAAACUAAUUUUAUUAUGUGUUUAUCUUGUGUAAGUGUGUACAUUCGUGAGUGUGUGCCACAGCAUGUGUGCAGAUGUCAGAUAGACAACUUAUAGGAGCCAUUCCCACCUGCCCUGUGGGUCUAACUCAGGUCUUCAGGCUUGCUCAGCUGAGCUAGCUUGCUUACACAAUUAUGAUAUUUUUGUGCAUAUAUAUAAUGUGUUUUGAUCACAUUUACCCCCAUUACCCCAUUACUGUCUGGUUCCCUCUACCAUUCUAUUGACUUCAUUUUCCCAACGAGUUGAUCUUUUUGUUUCUGUGUGUGUUUAUGCAUGCACAUUUACAUGUAAACACACUCUAAUGUGUAUUGGUAACAUGAUGAAUUCAAUUAGGAUUGCUUACAAGAACAUGGGUGGGGGAUUAUACACAGGAAUUAAGUAAGCUUACCUAGAUAUAUUGAAAUACCCUGUUGCCAUAAAGUGUACCCAUGCACACAGUAAAUCACCAUAAAAUUUGAUGGAUAUGGGGCUAUACAGGUAAACCCAGAGCCUCACACAUGCCGUGCAUGGGUUCUACCACUGAUCUGUGUCCUCAGCCCUGCAGAUUCUUUGGGGAGUUUUGAAACAAGAACUCGUGUAACUUGGGUGGAACUGACAUCCUAGUCUUCUUGCCUCCACCUCCUCUUGAGUACUGGGGUUACAGGUGUGAGCUACCACAUUGCAUUUCCUAAACAUGCCUUUAGAUGCAUUUCACAUUUCUCAGAAGAUAAGGGAAAUAUUCAGAGAUCAAGUAAUUGAAUAGUAAUGUGAAAUCAAAAUGAUGGAUAAACACAGGAAGUUUAACUGCCCUGGAAGCAGUUGCUACUUCAGGGAACCAAGGACUUUGGGAAUUAGUACUUCUGGACAAAGAUCACAUGGUAAUGGAGAUCUAAGCCAUGUGCUUACACAAACUGAGAAAGCUAAGCACUUGCUUCUUAUAUUAAGAAGAAGAGGAAGAAGAGGAGGAGGAGGAGGUGAUGGAAGAGGAGAAGGUGGCAGUGGUGGCAGCAGCAGCAGAAGCCAAAACACCUCCAAACAGGCUAACCAUCAAAGAGAAAGGGUCAUCUGGAGGUCAUUUGCCUGCUGGUCAAGGAAGCUAACUAAGAACUCUGGCUGUCUACCCUAGCCAAAAUUUGAGAAACUUUAUAAUAACUCUGAAUUCAUAAGUAGAGAGUUUAAAUGUAAACUUCACUCAACUGGAAAAACAACCAAUAAAUUUAUGGGCUUCUUAGUAUAGUUAAUAUGACCUAUCACCGUAAAACAAGUGAACAUACUCUCUGUGGAAAAUCACCCUCAAUCUGGGGCUAUUAGAAUUUACAGAGAUAUUAGUAUAACCCAGUUAAGAGCAAAUCACCUGGGGCUGGCUCUGACUCUAGAACCAUAAGCCUAAAUAAAUCCUUUAUUUUUAUAGUUGCCUUGGUCAUAGUGUUUUAUCACAGUAAUAGAAAAGUAACCAAUACAUUUCAACACGGUAAGAAGAGAAAAUAUCUCUUUCAUAUCAGAGUAUGAUGAAGUUCAGCCAUUUUAAGUGUGGAGACUGAUGAAUGUGAACAGUUAUAUGUGGUUAUGUAACUGCAAUCACACUUAACACACAGAGUUUCUGUUCUCCCAGCAAGUUUGCCUUCUUUCUUUCCAUAGCCACUUAUCCAGCCCUAGGUAAACACUGUUUUACUGGCUAGGCUAUAAUAUGGCAUUUCAUAUAAUAUGAUAUGAUGUGAUAUGCUAUGAUAUGAUGUAUUUUAUAAAUAUGUAUGUGUGCAUGUGGUCUUUUGUGUCUGUAGUGAACUUGAUGAGAAUAAUUGAAGGCAGAAGACUGCUGUCACAAUACUGAGUUAACUGUCAGUUUAGAAACAGUCCAACAGAACAUUCCUUCAAGAUGGUGCUGAGGUUCCAGUUUUGGUACGAUGGAGUAAGCAUAGUCAUUCUUUUUUCUCCUGAUGGAUAUGACUAAAACACUUGGACAGAAUGCAUGCAGCUACUGCCCGAGGACCCUGAAAAGUGAAGACCAGCAGGUAGACUAAGGAGAAACAGGACUUACAUCAAAGGCCCCCCCUCAGCAAGCCUGCCCUCGGCCCAUAGCACGGAGCCUAGCUGCACACAGGACACAGAAGGAGGACUCCCCACAAAAGAAAAAUGCUAGCCAAGAGCAAGAAGGAGAUUCCUAUGAAAGAAAAAGUGGGGAAGUUAAUUAUUUCUCUCCUCUUCUCCCUCCCCUCUCUCCCUCCCUCCCUUCCCUUUCUUCUCUCUCUUUCCCUCUCUCCCUCUCUCUUUUCUCACAGCUCUUCCAUUAGUUUACUCCUGGAGUUUCAGUUUGGCUGUGGCCUUGGUAGCCAAGCAGAUCAUGGAGAUCCAAGAGGGGAAUUCUCUUUUGGCUUCAGAGGAACCUGUGGAUAGAGAGUUUAUAUUAAAUUUAUAUUGUGGGUUUUUCCUCCUGUUGGAUCCAGGGCCAGCCUUAGUUACCAAAGCACAAGACUUUCUAGUCAAAGUUUAGGAGGGUUGGGGUAGGUAUUGGAGUAUUAGGGGGUGUAAGAGGAAACACCAAAAACCAGUGUUGUAUAUGAAUUUCUGGGUCUACUUCUGGGCCCAGAAAUAUUAGCAGGACUCUGACCCUCAGCAGUACACCGAAGACUUGUCCCCUGAUUGUCAGACUGUCUUCUGGUUUGUGAAGCAGAAGCAAAGACUACUUAGAGGGUUGUAAAGGUAGGUGGGCUGGCUGGUGGUCUGGUGAAACACACACCCCACACAUCCAAAAUGUCCUGUUUUUCAUAGAAUUUAGUUUAAGGGUUUCAUAACAUGUUAUGUUCCAAAUGUCUAUGUUCCUUAAAAAGUUACAUGACACAAAGACCAGGAAAGGCUGAUGAAUUCCCCAGGGAGGAGACAAGAUGCCGUCCACAGAUUUGCACAGGUGUUUCCUAUCAGGCAUAUCAGGCAGAGGCUUUGAAACAUCUGUUACAACCAUGCUUCAGAAAGGGAGAAGAUAGGAAAUCUCAACUUUAAGAAGUAGAAAAUUUAAAAAUGGAAAUUUUUAUUUUAAAUAUUGAUUGUUGUUUUGUCCUUUUCUGACAGAUUUCUUCCCUGUAGCUCAGGCCAGCCUUGAACUUGAACUCCUGUGUCCUUUCCAAUAUUGGGAUUACAGGAUUGAGCUGCCAUGCCUGGCUCUUCCCCUCCCUGUACUCUCUCUGUCCCUUCCCAUUCCUUUUCUUUUCCUGUGGAGCUUGAGUUCUGUCUGCUCACUUUCAGCUGCUUGAUGUGGGUGCUGGGAACCAAACCCAGGUCCCCUGGAGUAGCAGUGUGCAGUUUCUUGUCAGCUUGACAACAAAUUGGGGUCAUCUGGGAGGAGAGAACCUCAAUUGAGAAAAUGACUCCCUUAGAUUGGCAUGUAGGCAAGUCUGUGGGACAUUUAGGAGCAUAAACUUGGUGACUAACAUGUUGGCUGGAAGAGACUGUGCUUUAAGAGCUGUGUGGAGGGCUGGGUAGAGAAGAAGUUGCCUGGCCCGGGCAAGGCUGUGGGUGCAAGGCCCAGUUUCAGAACCAGAAAAGAAGUAACUGGGUUGUGAGGGCUCUCUCCCCACUUGGUGCAUGGGCUUUAGUGUUUACUUUUGUAAAAGAGUCUGGUGGAGACAGCUUGUGCUUGUCCUUCCAUUGUCAUGUGCAUACACGCUGUUCUGUAGGUAGAAGGGUCUUUUAUGUCAUCAAUAAGUAUUCUUUUUAAUCCGAGGAUUGACCUUUCGUCUCUCUGAUGAUUUAAAGCAUUGUAAUAGCUUUCUUCCUGGCAUUGCAGCGACCAGAACUUAUAAGCAUCUUGUAAAUAGAUCAUGCAUAUUUCUGACACUCUUCUUCAGAAUGUUCUUUUAAGAUGAUAACAAACCGAGAAAAAGUACUUCUGUUUUUACUAAAAUUCAGUUCAUCAUUUCCCUGAGUUAUUUUCUACAUUAUUUCUCUCCUGUCUGUGUUUUCUGUCAAUUUCUUAACUUGAUUUAUUUAGUAUUAUAGAAAGAGCUCAUGCUCCAGAAAGAGUAAACAGGUAAACAACAGAAGUGGCUAAUGUGCCUGAUGGUGGGAGGCCGAGUGAUGUGCCUGAGAGUGAUGCUCACACUAGAGGGCCUAGCAUCAUCUUCAUGACCCCAGGGAUGGGGGUCUGCAAAUGACACUAAGGCAGAACUUUAAAGAAUAUGUACACUUUUGCCAGCUACGUAAAUGCCUUGGGCAUUAAACUUUAAAAUGUAUUUUUAGAUUUUUAAAAUUUUAUUGUAUGCAUGUUUUUGCCUGCUUGUAUGUAUGCAGAUCAUAUGGAUGCCUGGAGCCUGUAGAGAAAAAAGAAUGCAUUGGAUACCCUGGAACUGGAGUUACACAUGGUUAUGAGCCACCAUGUGGGUGCUGGGAAGUGGACCUGGGACUUCCCACAAGAAGCAAGAGCAAAGUGCUCUUAAUUAAUGGCUGAGCCAUCUCUCCAGCUCUUACAGGUCCUGUAGGUGCCAGUCAGAUCUGAGGUGCCAAUCUUAGUGAGGCUGCUGUACAGCCCCUAGUACAGGUGAGUGGCUGUGCCUGAAGAAGAACCACUUUGGGGGUGGCUGGAGGAGAAGGUGCAGGGUAAGUGUUAGGACAUGCGAAAUUGUGUCUGUGAGGGCUAGCAUGUUGUAUGUAGCUCAUGGCUGUGCAUGCUGUCAAGAAGUAGGGUGUAUUAAAGGAUGAAGAGCUGAAAGGUUAAAGAAAGAUAGAUAAGAAGUAGAACUACUGUAAUUCUCACAAAACAGAUGGAGAUUUCACUUAACAGUUAUCAGCACUCAAGUAAAUAGUUGCCUUUACCCUAUACAUGGGCUCACUGCAUGCUAUAAAUGUAUUUACUCUAAAGUUUUAGUGCUUGAAGUUCACUACAAUAAAGAGAUUGCCAGGUGGGUGCAAACUGUAAAUAGUAAUGUGUCCUUUACACUCAUGCAAAUAUGGUUGGCUAUCCUUCCUUGUGGAUCAUUAGAAAUGAUUGCAGAGGAAGACGUGGUGGCUGGGGAGUUAGCAAGAAUAACUGGAAAGGAUCCUCAGCAUCUCAUGAUAGAAGUAGGCAGCUGCCUCUUCACCUUUGAGUUCAGGAUCUCAAAGGAUCUCCAAGUGGGGCUCAGAGAUGGGCUCCUGUAUUCGCUCAGCAUUCGCUUCAUUUCUUGUGGUCUCCUUCACUCCAUUACUGUUAGGUCAUCUUGCCCUUUGCUUACUCCUCCGAGAUCAUUCUCACUUGUCAGCUGUCAUUUUUCCUUCCUUUAACGUUACAACAUGUCCUUGAUAAAGCAGAGGGAAAAUAAUUACCACAUUUUCUUCUGUAGCAAGUUGGGGUGAUGGGGUCCAGGCUGAUGUGGAAUAUGGCAGUAAUUGGAUUAUCAGGCUUUGAUUAUUAGCAUUUUAAACUUUGAUUAUUAAUGCUGAUGAGAAGACUGUGAAGUGUGUAGGAAAAUAACCAAUUCCUAUCAUAGAGGAAGCAUUGUUAAAAGAUAGAUGUUUUUAAAGGGUAAAAGUUCACUGAAGUUAUCAGCUACUUAAUAAUAGACUUACUUUGUUUUUCAGUUAUUCUUAAAGCUGAAAUAUACAGUAGUUACACAAUGAGUUUUUGUUUUUACAGUAUUAGAAUGUGCUCUGCCACUCUCUGCCCAAAGACAGAACUUCAAAACCCAGGGUUCUGCAAAGGGACUGCCCUGGCUCUCUGUAGACUCUGGACGCGUGGCUCUCAGGAGCAUGGAGCGUGGUUGCAGCUCAGCACUGAGUGCCUUCUCAGUCCGGGCAGGUGUCAGGGAAUUGUUCUUUAAGUGAUUUACAAAAUGAAGGUAAACCACUGUAUGUAUGCUUUGAUUGCCCAGCAGUUAAACCCCUCUGCAUGUCUUCUGGCUUUCUGUAACGCCCGGUCCUCCUCAAGCCAUGCUCGCACCACACAGACUAUUCUGUUGCUCUUUCAGCAUAAGCAGGGCUAUUGUGAUAUUUAUCUGAAUUCAAACAAGGCUAAUUAAAAGAGCUGCUGACAGUUGUUGUGAUCUGACUUUGACUGCAGCUUGAUGGUCAUUAUGGGUAAAUAAUGAACCAGGUCUGCAAGUGUAGCAGCUGCCAACUUGGGAUAGAAGAACGGCUAUUGCUUCCAAUUUAAGGAUCUAUCGACCGCUUCUCUUCUCCCUGCAGAUCUUCUGCAGAAAACAAAUGUUUUCUGCUGCUGUGUAUUGUGGUUUCAGCUGUUUUAGAUAUAGCCUAUAAUUUCCUUCUUUAAUAUUUAACUUAGGACAUUAUUAGCUUUCAGAGUUAACAACUUUUCUGUUUUAAAAAAGUUUGGCUUUGUCCUUGUGAAUGCCAUAACCAGCUAACCAGCUGUGGCUAUUUAUAUGCAUUUAAUUUGUACAUUAUACAAGAAUUAGUAUAAACAGCAAGAUACGACCUCUGGCAGUGUUUCAAAGGCCUUCAUAGAUAGCUUUUUUUGUUAAUAGAUUGGCGCAUGCCCAUUGCUUUUGUUUUCAUAAAAAUGGACACCUCUUACCAGACCUCAAGUUUAGGUUUUGUUCACUUUUUCAGUGGCUUUGGAAUAUUUUGAUAUGUGCUGUAUUUAUCAAUUCAGAGUAGCUGCAGUAGCUUUCAUUAAAAUGCAAUAGUGAAUAUAUUGUCGCUCCAUCACGAGCGUCUCCUUGUCCUAUUAGUGAAUAGGAACAGGUACAUUAAAGGUGGCACGAGAACAGACUGCAUCCAUAGAUUAAUGUACUUCCCUGCAGAUUUCCUACACUUAAGAACGCAGCUUCUGGAUCUAAUGGUUACAAUCUAGAGUCUCAUACAGGCCGGAACUGAGCUCCAUCCUACCACUUAGUCACUCGCUAUGGAAAAGCCUGGCUGCAUUAUGUAAAGCCCGAGGAUACAGCAGUGCUUUGUGCAUAAUGUGGCAGAGCUUUGAGAUCUUGCUGGGAGGAAAUGAUCCCAACAUGCCCCUGGAAGAGAACCUUACUUUGAAAAAUAAUGAUGAAAAAUUGCUUCUUUUGCCAUGUAUUUGUCUUUGUUUAUUUCAGGAAAGGCUAACCAAACUUUGUUUAUCAGACUCCAGAAUAGAACUGUGAAUGUUUUUGCUUUCUCGUCUCCAGCUUGGAUUAUGCCAGAAGUAAUGUUAACAAGGGGUUAUGUUAUGCUGGCUUAUGUUAAACCAGAUCACCCCUAACAUGUGCAGAGCCAUUCAUCUGUGUCACCAAAACCCAGGAGAACGUCUGACAUGGGCUCUGCAACAGAAACAGUGAUCGCUUACAAAUCAAACAUGGCACGCUCUAAACUGAUUGUGCACGGCAAUCUUUUCUAGAAAGGACAACUAAUUGAACAUGAUAAAGUGUAAAGUUAAUUAACACCCUUAAAUUUGUUGAUUACUUUCACGGGAUUAUAUUGUUCGUUGAGUAGCAGCUUUCUGUCCCAGCUGUCGCCUUUUUUCAGCGAAUGACGCUGGUAAACAAUAGAGACACCAUAACAAGUCGUAAAUGGUCCCUGUGACAGCAGCCCCUUGUGAGGCUGCAUCUGUAGAAAAUGAUUAGAACAAUUGCAUUUUAAAGACAGCUCACAUCGCAGCCCAGGUCCCUUCGGCCCUCUUCUUGAUCUCUUUUGAUGGCAGACUGGUUAAAACAUUUAAGUUCUUUUGAGUAAAUUAGGUGAUUUACUGCAUUUUUUUUUUUUGAGAGUGCUUGGCAGCUUGGCUUUUACAGUGUUAAAGGCAGAUACAGCUGGAGCUUACAUUUUAGUGUCCUGUCUCCUUCCUGGGCUUGAAGGCCUCUUUCCGAUUGGCGUGGGUAAAACUAGCUCAUCUGUGAUUCCUAAGAGGUUAUCUUAGGUUACCCAUCCUUGAUUCAGCUUUUUUCGUAAGGCCAAUUCCAAAUUUCAGCUCUUUGCUACUCUUAGGCCCAAGACUUUGGCAUGCUUAGGAUGAAUAGAUUUACUUGCUACAUUUUAUAAUAUUUGCGGUUUACUAUGUCAAAGACCUUUCCUUUAUAUUCUCUGCUGCUUCCGAAGAAGCAUGGCACCUUUUGAGUCUAAAAUGUAGAUUUAAUGGUAUUGGGAUUUGUCUGAGCUACCAGUGUGAUUUGAGUGGAGAUUUCACCUAGGCCAUUUAUUUAUCACGUGUUUUCAUUUUUACCUCUUUAUGAUACUGUCCCUGAGUGUACACACACACACACACACACGGGUUUCUUUAUAUGGCAUUAAGUGAAGAUGCCAGUGCCACAUACCGAGAAUCACACUGCUCCAAAAUUGAGGUCGUCCUUUUGUGUGUAAUUGAUGAGUAGCAGUGUUAUUUAGUAUUUGGCACGCUGGCUUGCUAAUAUAUAUUUGUUGUGGACAGCUAGAUGGAGCUUUACCUCACUCGCAUUCAGAGAGCUCCUGCCCACUCGACACACCAUAGGAAAACUCAUGAGUUUGAGUAGUUACGUGUGCUUUUUACCAGUGCCCCUCGGAAAGCUACAGGAAUAGGAAAAGAAAGCCAAGACUGUGGGGCUCUCACUGAGUGCAGUCUUGGAGAGGGAGGGAUGGGGAGGGGAGAUGGGAAGAUGAUCUCAAGUGAAGGAGCAGUGAGCAUGUGUGCACAGAAACCCACAGCUCUCAGUGGACACAGCGAGCAGGGGUAGGGAUACUUAUUCACUGGCAAGAAAGCUGAAGAUUUAGAAAUUAGAAGAUUUAAGGAGAGAAAGAUUAAAAAUCCUCUGCUUCCUACAACUCUCAGGAGGAUCAAAGGAGGGAGGUGACAGUAGGAGUUUACUGUCCUGUGCUGAGUCAAGCAUACAGGGUCUUCAGAGAAAGUGACUUUCUUUGACUUGGUGCGGGACAUAGGUGACUCUCCGAGGCCUGCUUAGUAAUAGUAAUGAUGUCUGUAGCUGGUUGUGCUCGCAGGAAGGCAUCAUCCGAGACACCAGCUUGUGCUGGUUCCUAAACCAAACUGCCUCAAACCGGGAGACGGAUUAGCAUGAGUAUUAGAACAAGGUGACUAAUGUUGAUUUUUACUGUUUACAGAUGGUAGACCAAGUCAGGCAGAAGGGAAGAACUGAGUAUUAACUUGGUUCACUUUGAGCAAACAGUCCUUUAACAUAAAAAUAUGAAGAAUGUUAUUUGUUAUUUCAUUUUCUGUAUUCUAUGUAAAGUACCAAAUAAGUAUUAAAAAUAAUAUGUAACCUUAAAAUAUGUAACUCAGUUCAAGGAGAAAAAACUCUGAGGUUGCUUUAUUCCUCUCUAAAUGAAGUUUGCUCUUACUUUGAAUAUAACUUUAUUUAAUUUUAUUGUGAAAUCUUUGUUUUGUAUUUGUUAAUGGUGAGUUGCUCUUUUCUUUUUUCUCCUUUUGUGGUGUGUGUGUGUGUGUGUGUGUGUGUGUGUACUGUGUGUGUGCAGAGCACCAACACUGACAUUGUUCCUCAUGGCUCUCCACUUUGUUUAGUGGGGAGGGGUAUUCACUGAGCAGAAGGAGAGCUCUCUAUUGGCCUAGCUCAGCCAGCUUGCUCCUGCGAUCCCUGUCUGUCCUAGAAUGCUAGGAUUAGAGGUGGCUGCCACACUUGCCUGGCUUUACGUGGGUCCUGCAGAUAAGAACGCUCAUCCUAAUGCGUGCACAGCAGCAGCUUUAUCCACUCGGCUGUACCCCUAAGCUUUUAGUUGACUCUUAAUUGAUAAAAGUAGUAUACUACAUACAUAUCAGGUAUGACAUAAUUUUUAAGGAUAUGUAUACUUUGUUGAAUGACUAAGUCAAACUGUCUAGCAUGCAAUAUUGCAUAUACUUGCUUUUAGUUAUGAGAGUACUUAAAAUCUACUCUCAGCAAUUGACAGAAAUACAAUUCACUGUUACUAACGGUAGUUAUCACAUCGUUCAGUGGGCCCCAGAACUUCACCCUCUGUAUUUCUGGCUUUCUACUUUCUAAACAUAUUACUCUGAUAAGCAGAUACAAAGCUCUGCAGAGAGGUGGGAGUUACGUGUGGUUAGGGAGCAGGUACAGUCCGUGAGCACUCUGGGACAUCCCAUACUGUCUGCUCAGGUCAUGACUGCUUUACUGUUUCAAUCAGAUUUGCAAGUGCAUUUGGACACCAUAGGAGUAUUUGGGAAGGUUUGCAGGGAGAAAAGGAAAGAGAAAAUGGUACAAUUAUACUAUAAUCUCAAAAGAAAAAUUUAAAGGUAUAAACCUGAGUCCCCAAGCCUUGGGUGCUAAAGUUGAGUAUAGGUGUAUCCUUGGGGAGUGAAGGGUAAAGAGAGAGUUCUGUGACCCCAUGACUUUACAUUUUAGAUUUCCUGGGAUAUUAAUAUUUCAAAUGUUCUUCAAAUAUGCCAGGAAACAGAUCUUAAUUUUUGUUUCAGGAAACAUAUUUACCAUGUUACCAGAUUCCAUACACCUGUCUUGAACAUUUCCUGAUUUUUCUUUUGCAUUUUUCAACAAUAGGAGUCCAAAAAAAAAGGAAAGAAGGAACCAGAACUUGGUGGUGAUUGCCAUCUGUCAUCUGACCCUGGUUCAUAUGAUGCUAUUUUUUGAACAUAUCUCUUUUCUAUAGUUAUGAUUUAGAUCUUUUUUCUUUUAAGAUUAUAAGUGUAUCAUUUUCAUCUCCCCACUCCCAAACUCUCCCAUUACCCAGCCUAGCUUGUUUUCGAAUUCAUGGCCCCUUUCAUUAAUUGUUGUGUAGAUGCAUAUAUACAAUUCCUAAAUACAAAAUGUUCAGUGUGCAUGUUACUCAUGUGUGUGUUUUCAGGGCUGGCCAUUUUGGUAUUGGAUAAGCAGUUGUGCUCUUCCCUGGGGAGACUGUUUCUCCCACUAAGUAUUCCUAAGCUCGAUAUUGUUCUCUGUUUAGGCCUGGUCUCCCGAGCUUGCCUUAUCCAUGUUAGCAUGGCUUGUGAUCAGGCAGUCGUGUUGGUGAGACUUUUGGGCUGUAGCUUCUGCUACUCCUAGGAGCCGCGAUCUCAUAGCAACUCCCGUUCCUCUGGCUCCUCGAAUCCUUCUGUUCCCUUUUCACAGUGGUCCCUGGGCUUUAGGGUUAGGCGUUGUAUAGGUGUAUCCUUGGGGAGUGGAGGGUAGAGAGAGAGUCUGGGUCUCCCAUGGCUUUACAUUUUAGAUUUCCUGGAACAGUCUUAUCUCAAAUGCCAGGAAACAUAUCUCAUUUUUGAUUAGGAAAACAUGUUUACGAAUUGAACCUUCUUACCUAGCAAUUGAAGCACUGACUAGAUAACUUGCUGAUGAUACUUUUCUCCUUUGAGUCAUUUAUACUUCUCUAGCUUGCAUAGAAUUGGAUUUUAUUGGCUUGUGUGGAUUUUCUUCACCCUUGUCCUCCCACCAACAGUGGAUCUUGUACAUCUUAAGUAGUAAGAGCUGGUUCUUAGUACCAGGUUGCAAACCACUGAAUGAUGGGUCUCCAGUUGUGGAAUUUGUGUGUGUGUCAACUGUAAGUCUGUUUUUAAAAUAGGAAGACUGGCUAACUUAGACUUUGAUUAGGCAUAAGAAUGCUUCUCCUCACACUGUGAUGGAUACAGCUGGCUUUUAAGAGCAAAGUAUUCGUCUUAGUUUGGGUUUAUUGCUGUGUUGAGACACCAUGACCAAUGUAAAUCUUAUAAAAGACAACAUUUGAUUGGGGCUGGCUUACAGUUUCAGAGAUUCAAUAUAUUAUCGUCAUGGCAGGGAGCAUGGCAGCAUGCAGAUGGCAGGGAGCAAGGCAGCAUGCAGGCAGACAUGGUACUGGAGAAAAAGCUAAGAGUUCUAUAUCAUGGUCCAAAGGCCGCCAGGAGAAGAAGACUGUGUCCCUGAGGGGGUGGAGCUUAAACACUAGGGGCCCUUAAACCCCACCUCCACAGUCAUGCACUUCCUCCAACAAGGCCACGCCUCCUAACAGCACUUCCCGUGGGCCAAGCAGAUUCAAGCCAUCACAGUGAUUGUGUCUAUUUUGAGUGAUUUGGGCACUUGCAUUUUCAUUUGUUUGUAUAAUUGAGUUCAUUGUUUUUAUUCUAGGACUAUGUGAGAGAAUUUCUAAAGACAUGAUUGUAAGAAAUGGCUAGAAGCUUUAAAGGCAGCUACAGGAUUUGGGCUUGUUGGAUUUAAGUUAAUAUAUGUAUGUUUAAAAAAAAUCUUUUUUUUCCUUUUACACUUGUACUUAGCUAAAAGGCCAAGAAGCAAUAAAGUAGACUAUAUAGGGUAGGUAUGGGCUUAAUCAACUGAAGGCCAUUUAAUUUAUUUACUUACUUACUUUUGAGACAGGGUCUCUCUCUGUACUUCUGGCUAUCCUGGGACUCGCUCUAUAGACCAGGCUGGCCAGAACUCAGAUCCUUCUGCCUCUGCCUCCCAAGUGCUGGGAUUAAAGGUGUGCACAAUAUCAUCCACUAGACAGUUUGACUUAAGCCAUUCUGCAAAGUGUGCAUAUCUUAAAGUAUUAUACAUAAUAAGUAGUAUACUAUAUCAUUUCUCAUGAUCAGCCUUUCUUUUUUCUAAUGGGGAACUUUUAUCCAGUGUAUCCCAGUUUUGUGUGUUAGCAUCAUACAUGUUUGAAUGUGGAUGCAUGUGAAUUUGAAAACCCCAAAUGAUCAUAGAAUCAUGUUGUCUGACUUCCCUCAUAGAUUGGAAGUGGAUAGAGCAGGCAGCAUUUAAGUGGAUUACUAGAGUGACAAAAAAGCUUGGUAAACCCUUAGCAUCAAGAGUAUUUCUGUGAGAACAGGUCUCACCUGGUACCGCUUCGCUGUGUUUCUUCCCUUUUGCCUUCUGUCUUAGUCCACUUUGUGAUACUUUAGUAGUACCUGAGAGACUGGGAACUAGGGAUAUAGAGUUGGUAGAGUACUUGUCUGAUAUGCUCAAGACCCUGGAGUUGAUGCCUAGCAACCACCAGAAGCACCACUCCUAAGAAAAAGAGAGAGACUAGUUAAUUUAUAAGGGACAGAAUUUUAUUUCUUAUGGUUCUGAAGGUUGGAAAACCAAAAAUAAACGGCUGUCAUUUGUGAAGGGCCAUCAUGACUUGAAGGAACAGGAUUUGGAGGAUGAGGGGCAUAAGAAUGAGAGAGGCCACACUUGUCCUUCCAUAAAAUACCCAUGCCCUUGAUGUUGCAUGAGUCCGUGCGUGAUGGAGCCUCCGUGUUCUAACGAGCUCUCAUUGGUUCUCACUGUUUAGCACUGUUGUCUUGGGGAUGACUUACUUUUUGGAAUGCACAUUUAAGGAAUAGCCUCUCCUUUUCUGUCUUUCUCUGGGUAAAUUGUCAUCUACUGAACAUCUCUUUUGUACCAGGCUCUGUGGGUAUGUGCCUCAAGAGUCAAUUAUCUCUACCUUCCCAGAAAUAGUGUUCCUAUGGAGAAUUGUAUCAGAAAUAAAGGUAUUGAAAUAGGUGAUACAAAGUCAAAGCAGGAAAGUUAACAAGUGUUAAGUCUGGCUUCUCUGAAGAGGCAAAUGUUGAGCCUGGUUCAUGAUUAUUGGAAAAUUUGUCAUGAGUAGUUUGGAGAAGAAUGUGCCAAACUGAAAAGAAUAAGUGCAAGGCUCGGAGAUGAGAUAAGGUCAUGCUUGAUCUGUUUCAGGGACAGCCAGAGGCCAGAGUGCCUUGAAGCCUGAGUGACAGAAAGAUGGGUAUGGAUAAGACAGGAGAGGAAGCUGUGGCUUUAUUAAAAGAGGGCUUUGUAGGACUUUGGAUCUCAUGCUGAGCAUGAUGGGAAGUUUUGGGAUUGCUGAGAGAAGAGAAAAACUGUGGGCUAGAUUUAUAUUCUAGGAGAGUUCCUCUGGCUGUUGUGUUGAGAAUAGAUGUUGGAGACCAGGACAGAAGGGAGAUCAAGUGCACAGGUUAUAGAAAAAUGUGGCCAGGUCACAGGCGCAUAACUUCUUAGAAGCAAUACGUAUGUGUGAUUAAGCUCUCACCCCACAGCUAGCUACAGAGCUUGAUGUAUAGGAGGUGCCCAGUGGACUAUGUUGAAUGUAAGCAAAUACGGAUUCUCCAUCUCUUCCCAUAAGAUGCACUCAACUGUUACUGAUUUUUCUAGGUCUUCGUGGUGAUUUUUUUUCCUCUCCCUACUCUUACUUUUUAAGACAGGGUCACAUUUUGUUGCUUAAAUUGGUCAGAAUUCAUGAUUUGGCUAUCUUAGCCUCCCAAGUGGCAUGUCAGGCAUAUGCCAACACACCCAGCUUACAGUGUUGUAAUCUUAACACUAACCGAACGUGGACUUCUAUAGAACUUCUUAACCAGGGCCAGCCUGCUUCACUUGGGGUGAGUCCACAGCAGCUAAUAUUCAGCAAGCAAGGCUAAAACUAACCUAGAAGAGACAAUGACUUAGAUAACCAGAUAGGGAAAAUGCCACAUCACACAUAAAAAUUGUAAAGACCUUCUAUUUAAGUGGUAUUUACAGCUACUCUAUAAAGAAGUAUUAAUGCCUUUCCCAUUUUAUACACUGCCUUGGAGUUUCUUCUUUAUCACACAACCAUCAAGUGUUAUUCUCAAAACCAGUUAUUACAUCUCCAGAGCCUUUAUUCUCUGAACCAUGAUUAUUGAUUUAUUUUCCAAACAAUCAUCUAUUAAAUAUAUCCUGCUGUAUACAACAUAAUAGGAAUACUGACAUAAGCAAGACCCCAUGCUGACCCCAUAGGUAAAAUCA